ensembl:lncRNA
CCUUAUUAUGAGCUCUUUGUAAGGGAAGAGCCAAAGUCCCCCAUCCUGCAGACACUUAAGCAUGUCCUUGUGUUUAACGCUAUGAAUAGUCGCACAGGCUCCUCUGGGAGGAUACUUGGAUACUGAAAGUCAAGCACAUAACAAAGUGUGUGCAGGAUCACUGCCUAGGGAAUGAAACAGAGAUGGCUGCAGAAAAAAAAUCCUUAAUGAGACUCUCUUAAAAGGAACACUGGCGUUAUUAAACUGGAAAUUCUAACCAUUCUGCAAAGGAGAAUGAAUCAAGUUUGGAGCUUUUUGGGAAGAGAAAAGGACAGAAGAAGAACAAAGAGAAGACAUAAGAAUAAAUGAAACGUACUCCAGUUGAUUGGAAGGUCUCUCUAGCCCAAACGUUCACUCACAAACACAAGGAAGGAUGAGAAUUUGCAACAGCAUGGGACACACAGGCACAGACGCACAGUGAUGCUAUCACUGCGCCAUCCACCCUUCUGCUGAGAACCACCGAAGGAGUCUGGAAGCAACUGGAAUUCCACUGUGUUGAGUGCUGCACGAAUAGCUAGAGACAGUCCUUUCGCACCAUGCAUCAGGCGAAACAGCAGCAAUCUCCUAAAAGAUAAACAACUGCAAGAUGUCUCUUUCAUUUCAACUGGCCAAAAAGGAGACAAUGCAGACUGAUCACCAAAUACUUUUUCCAGCCUUUAAGAUAAGUGGGGCUAAGAAAUAGA